rnacentral:rRNA from 1 species
CAGUAGCCGCGGGAAUACGUAGGUCCCGAGCGUUGUCCGGAUUUAUUGGGCGUAAAGGGAGCGCAGGCGGUCAGGAAGGUCUGGAGUAAAAGGCUAUGGCUCAACCAUAGUGUGCUCUGGAAACUGUCUGACUUGAGUGCAGAAGGGGAGAGUGGAAUUCCAUGUGUAGCGGUGAAAUGCGUAGAUAUAUGGAGGAACACCAGUGGCGAAAGCGGCUCUCUGGUCUGUCACUGACGCUGAGGCUCGAGAGCGUGGGUAGCGAACAGGAUUAGAUACCCCUUAGUCCCUGUCUCUUAUACAC